CCUACGGGAGGCUGCAGUGGGGAAUAUUGCACAAUGGGGGAAACCCUGAUGCAGCGACGCCGCGUGAGUGAAGAAGUAUUUCGGUAUGUAAAGCUCUGUCAGCAGGGAAGAAAAUGACGGUACCUGACCAAGAAGCCCCGGCUAACUACGGUCCCGCAGCCGCGGUAAUACGUAGGGGGCAAGCGUUAUUCGGAUUUACUGGGUGUAAAGGGAGCGUAGACGGCAGGGCAAGUCUGGAGUGAAAGGUGGGGGCUGAACCUCCGGACUGCUCUGGAAACUGGCAGGCUGGAGUGAAGUAGAGGUAAGUGGAAUUCCUAGUGUAGCGGUGAAAUGCGUAGAUAUUAGGAGGAACACCAGUGGCGAAGGCGGCUUACUGGACUGUAACUGACGUUGAGGCUCGAAAGCGUGGGGAGCAAACAGGAUUAGAUACCCUAGUAGUC
rnacentral:rRNA from 1 species